rnacentral:lncRNA from 1 species
GAAGCUGUUGAUUUGGUCAUAGAUCUCUCUCGAUUUCAGAUGCCGCACCGAAAGCGAAAGCGAAGCACUCAGCAAAUAUACUAACAAUAUAAGCACGAUCAUCAUAUAGGAGUUACUCAACACGCACAUUACAUCAGGCAUAUGACCAAGGUAUUUUAUUUAUUAAACUCCAGUCUCCCACAUGCACCCAAUCAUAGAGACGAUGUACAACAAGAAAAUACUUAUAAACAUGACAUACGGUUCCGCUGCUGGCAGCAUGAAGUCUUUUACCAUAGCUAGGGUCUGAUCCGGCUACGAAACAUAGCAGAUGCAACCAGUCCUUUCAUCUCGGCCACAUGCACCACCAGUUCUUCAUCUUGGCCACAUGCAAGGGACCUGGCAAAUGGCAAUAAACCAAAAGUUAAGACCAUUUAAGAACAACAGUUGUAUUUUGCACAAGAAAUGCAUGGAAGAGAACGAAACCAUGCAGCAUCGAUGGCUUACAUUUGUGCUAUUCGCAG